UAGGCCAAAUGAUUGCAAAGCAACAUUUAGGAAUCUAUUGGCAUAUACCGUAUAAUUCAUCCUCUUAACCCUAAUGCUCAAGAAAACCUAUGGUUUAACUGUCAAUCCUAAAAUAGUCAACCACAUUAUAUUUUAACUUUUCAAAUUCAUCAUAUGGAUUAUCCUGGUCAAGAUUUUACUAAAUUGAAAUAUAGUGAUGUAUGAACUCCUAUAAUCC
rnacentral:lncRNA from 1 species